rnacentral:rRNA from 1 species
GCGCUUGAGAGAACUCGGGUGAAGGAACUAGGCAAAAUGGUGCCGUAACUUCGGGAGAAGGCACGCUGACACGUAGGUGAAGUGGUUUACCCAUGGAGCUGAAGUCAGUCGAAGAUACCAGCUGGCUGCAACUGUUUAUUAAAAACACAGCACUGUGCAAACACGAAAGUGGACGUAUACGGUGUGACGCCUGCCCGGUGCCGGAAGGUUAAUUGAUGGGGUCAGCGCAAGCGAAGCUCCUGAUCGAAGCCCCGGUAAACGGCGGCCGUAACUAUAACGGUCCUAAGGUAGCGAAAUUCCUUGUCGGGUAAGUUCCGACCUGCACGAAUGGCGUAAUGAUGGCCAGGCUGUCUCCACCCGGGACUCAGUGAAAUUGAACUCGCUGUGAAGAUGCAGUGUACCCGCGGCAAGACGGAAAGACCCCGUGAACCUUUACUAUAGCUUGACACUGAACACUGGUCCUUGAUGUGCAGGAUAGGUGGGAGGCUUUGAAGUGUGGACGCCAGUCUGCAUGGAGCCAUCCUUGAAAUACCACCCUUUAAUGGCUGGUGUUCUAACGUGGGCCCGUGAACCGGGUUGCGGACAGUGUCUGGUGGGUAGUUUGACUGGGGCGGUCUCCUCCUAAAGAGUAACGGAGGAGCACGAAGGUUGGCUAAUCCUGGUCGGACAUCAGGAGGUUAGUGCAAUGGCAUAAGCCAGCUUGACUGCGAGCGUGACGGCGCGAGCAGGUGCGAAAGCAGGUCAUAGUGAUCCGGUGGUUCUGAAUGGAAGGGCCAUCGCUCAACGGAUAAAAGGUACUCCGGGGAUAACAGGCUGAUACCGCCCAAGAGUUCAUAUCGACGGCGGUGUUUGGCACCUCGAUGUCGGCUCAUCACAUCCUGGGGCUGAAGUAGGUCCCAAGGGUAUGGCUGUUCGCCAUUUAAAGUGGUACGCGAGCUGGGUUUAGAACGUCGUGAGACAGUUCGGUCCCUAUCUGCCGUGGGCGCUGGAAGAUUGAGGGGGGCUGCUCCUAGUACGAGAGGACCGGAGUGGACGCAUCACUGGUGUUCGGGUUGUCAUGCCAAUGGCACUGCCCGGUAGCUACAUGCGGAAGAGAUAAGUGCUGAAAGCAUCUAAGCACGAAACUUGCCCCGAGAUGAAUCUUCCCUGAGCCUUUAAGGCUCCUGAAGGAACGUUGAAGACGACGACGUUGAUAGGCCGGGUGUGUAAGCGCAGCGAUGCGUUGAGCUAACCGGUACUAAUGAACCGUGAGGCUUAACCUU